rnacentral:rRNA from 1 species
AGCUCCAAUAGCGUAUAUUAAAGUUGUUGCAGUUAAAAAGCUCGUAGUUGGAUUUCGGGACGGCCCGGCCGGUCCGUCGCAAGACGAGCACUGGUCGGCCGUCCUUCCUCUCGAAAGCCCCGACUGCUCUUCACUGUAGUGGUCGGGUAGUUCGGGACGUUUACUUUGAAAAAAUUAGAGUGUUCAAGGCAGGCUCACGCCCGAAUACAUUAGCAUGGAAUAAUGGAAAAGGACCUCGGUCCUAUUUUGUUGGUUUCUGGGGCCGAAGUAAUGAUUGAGAGGGACAGUUGGGGGCAUUCGUAUUUAAUUGUCAGAGGUGAAAUUCUCGGAUUUAUGAAAGACGAACGACUGCGAAAGCAUUUGCCAAGGAUGUUUUCAUUAAUCAAGAACGAAAGUACGC